rnacentral:snoRNA from 1 species
UACAAUGAUGAAUUUCAAAACACUUAAUAAGCUAGAUAGUAUCUGAAAUUUAUUAAUGAUUGGAGUGUUAAUAGAAAACCUGAUGUAUCUGGCU